rnacentral:rRNA from 1 species
UACGUAGGGCGCAAGCGUUGUCCGGAAUUAUUGGGCGUAAAGCGCUCGUAGGCGGUCUGUCGCGUCGGAUGUGAAAGCCCGGGGCUUAACCUCGGGUCUGCAUUCGAUACGGGCAGGCUGGAGUUCGGUAGGGGAGACUGGAAUUCCUGGUGUAGCGGUGAAAUGCGCAGAUAUCAGGAGGAACACCGGUGGCGAAGGCGGGUCUCUGGGCCGAUACUGACGCUGAGGAGCGAAAGCGUGGGGAGCGAACAGG